rnacentral:rRNA from 1 species
AUGUCGAACCCCGACGUGGAGGCCGCCGGCCCGGCCAGGGCGGCGACGACGGGGAUCAAGCCGCCGCCUGGGAGGUACUACGCGGGCGGCGACGGGCAGCACGCGCCGGCGGCGCCCUUCUACUACGGCCAGGAGGCGGAGCGCGAGCGGCAGCACCACACGUGGCUGGUGCCGGUGGUGGUGCUCGCCAACGUGGCCAUGUUCAUCGUGGUCAUGUACUACAACGACUGCCCGCGCAACGGCAGGGGCGCCGACUGCCUCGGCGGCGGUUUCCUCCGCCGCUUCUCCUUCCAGCCGCUCAAGGAGAACCCCCUCUUCGGGCCCUCCUCCGCCACGCUGGGGAAGUACGGCGGGCUCGACCGGUACAAGGUGGUGCACGGGGACCAGGCGUGGCGGCUGGAGACGGCCACCUGGCUGCACGCCGGCCUCAUCCACCUCGGCGCCAACAUGAUCAGCCUCAUCUUCGUCGGCGUCCGCCUGGAGCAGCAGUUCGGAUUCUGGAAGGUCGGCCUGGUCUACCUCUUCUCGGGGUUGGGCGGCAGCGUGCUCUCGGUGCUCUUCAUCAGGAACGGCGUCUCCGUCGGCGCCUCCGGCGCACUCUUCGGCCUCCUCGGGGCCAUGCUGUCGGAGCUCAUCACCAACUGGACCAUCUACACCAACAGGCUCGCGGCCAUGGCGAACCUGAUCAUCAUCGCCGCCAUCAACCUCGCGCUGGGGAUACUGCCCCACGUCGACAACUUCGCGCACAUCGGCGGGUUCCUCACCGGCUUCCUCCUCGGCUUCGUGCUGCUGAUCCAGCCCCGGUUCGGAUGGCUGGAGCAGCCCUUCGGCGGCAAGACAAAGUCCAAGUACACGGCUUGCCAGAUCGUCCUCCUGAUCGUCGCCCUCCUCCUAGCGAUUGCAGGGUUCGCCGUUGGAUUGCUGAUGGUGUUCCGCGGGGUGAACGGCAACGACCAUUGCAGCUGGUGCCACUACCUUACCUGCGUCCCGACGUCGCACUGGAAGUGUGACAACUAA